rnacentral:rRNA from 1 species
GAGAGGAAGGUCCCCCACAUUGGAACUGAGACACGGUCCAAACUCCUACGGGAGGCAGCAGUGAGGAAUAUUGGUCAAUGGGCGAGAGCCUGAACCAGCCAAGUAGCGUGAAGGAUGACUGCCCUAUGGGUUGUAAACUUCUUUUAUAAAGGAAUAAAGUCGGGUAUGCAUACCCGUUUGCAUGUACUUUAUGAAUAAGGAUCGGCUAACUCCGUGCCAGCAGCCGCGGUAAUACGGAGGAUCCGAGCGUUAUCCGGAUUUAUUGGGUUUAAAGGGAGCGUAGAUGGAUGUUUAAGUCAGUUGUGAAAGUUUGCGGCUCAACCGUAAAAUUGCAGUUGAUACUGGAUAUCUUGAGUGCAGUUGAGGCAGGCGGAAUUCGUGGUGUAGCGGUGAAAUGCUUAGAUAUCACGAAGAACUCCGAUUGCGAAGGCAGCCUGCUAAGCUGCAACUGACAUUGAGGCUCGAAAGUGUGGGUAUCAAACAGGAUUAGAUACCCUGGUAGUCCACACGGUAAACGAUGAAUACUCGCUGUUUGCGAUAUACUGCAA